rnacentral:rRNA from 1 species
AAUAGAUACCCUGGUAGUCCACGCCGUAAACGAUGAGUGCUAAGUGUUAGAGGGUUUCCGCCCUUUAGUGCUGCAGCUAACGCAUUAAGCACUCCGCCUGGGGAGUACGGUCGCAAGACUGAAACUCAAAGGAAUUGACGGGGGCCCGCACAAGCGGUGGAGCAUGUGGUUUAAUUCGAAGCAACGCGAAGAACCUUACCAGGUCUUGACAUCCUCUGACAACUCUAGAGAUAGAGCGUUCCCCUUCGGGGGACAGAGUGACAGGUGGUGCAUGGUUGUCGUCAGCUCGUGUCGUGAGAUGUUGGGUUAAGUCCCGCAACGAGCGCAACCCUUGAUCGUUAGUUGCCAGCAUUUAGUUGGGCACUCUAAGGUGACUGCCGGUGACAAACCGGAGGAAGGUGGGGAUGACGUCAAAUCAUCAUGCCCCUUAUGACCUGGGCUACACACGUGCUACAAUGGAUGGUACAAAGGGCUGCAAGACCGCGAGGUCAAGCCAAUCCCAUAAAACCAUUCUCAGUUCGGAUUGU